UGGGGAAUAUUGCACAAUGGGCGAAAGCCUGAUGCAGCGACGCCGCGUGAGGGAUGACGGCCUUCGGGUUGUAAACCUCUUUCAGCAGGGACGAAGCGCAAGUGACGGUACCUGCAGAAGAAGCACCGGCUAACUACGUGCCAGCAGCCGCGGUAAUACGUAGGGUGCAAGCGUUGUCCGGAAUUACUGGGCGUAAAGUGUUCGUAGGCGGUUUGUCGCGUCGUUUGUGAAAACCAGCAGCUCAACUGCUGGCUUGCAGGCGAUACGGGCAGACUUGAGUACUGCAGGGGAGACUGGAAUUCCUGGUGUAGCGGUGAAAUGCGCAGAUAUCAGGAGGAACACCGGUGGCGAAGGCGGGUCUCUGGGCAGUAACUGACGCUGAGGAACGAAAGCGUGGGUAGCGAACAGG
rnacentral:rRNA from 1 species